AUGGUGGAGUGAGCAGUCUGAUAGGAAAAAGGUGACGAGAUGCGACCCCCCGCGAGGUUUCCCGCGCGGGGCACCCGCCUGUCGAUAAUGUCUCGUACCAGUUACCGACAAGGGGCUUUCACCUGCGUCGCGCUUCGAUUCCGUGGUUGACCCCCCGUGCGAAUCGGACCCCCCGCUUGCGUCACGUCGACUCCUUGACUUCGGUUGUCCAGUCUCGCGGAAAUAACGAUACGCUCGGAUGGAAAAAAAGACCUACGUCGUCACCCUGUCGUGGGGUGCUACGUUGAGUAUAACCGAGCGCGUCGCCCCUGGUGGCCUCGCCGUGUGUGGGAACUUUCGAUUUCGCGAUUUUCCUUCGUCGUUCGUACAUAACCUCUUGAGAGUUCAUCGAAUAGCCGGUAGGCAUAUGCGUACCUCUCGUCCACCGAAAGUAUAUAGCGAGCAUAAUUUUUACAAAAGCUCUGCCCUUGCACCCUGUGUCUACCUUCUGCUCGAUAAACAAUAUACCAUCGUGUACGCGCCAACGGGCCGACGAGUGGCCUCCCUGUACAAUACCAUCUUAUGACAUUUUCGAGUUCGACCGUUGUUGUCGAGUGCUUAAGUGCUCGUUAUACACGCCGCGUCAAGCUUUUGUGUCGCAGCAACUGUUUUUCAGGCGUCGGUUAAGUGUGUCCGGGGACUGGUCGCGAACCUUUGUUCUCCGCACGCGAAAUCGACAAUUAAUAACGGACCGACGUGCCUUGCGGCUCCUAUCAACGGGGAACGCGUCGUUGCGUCAACGAAGCUGAUGAAUAGCAAACGCGCAAGCGUCUGUAACGACGACGACCAACUUUCACUGGCAACAUUUUAACGAAUAAAUCUAAGAGACUUGGUAAAGAGCGCGAAGAAAAAAAAAGUCUCGGUCAGUAGGUGGAAAGCUGGUUGUGCCACGAAGAAGCAUUUUCCAUCGUCUUCGAACGAUUUACUUCUGGAGGUCAAGCUCGCCCACGCAACCGGCUUCGCUUCAGGGGCGUACCCAUAGGGCGGGUUCGUAGAACGGUGGAGCAAGCGGCAACGCAUAGGUAUCUUACAUACGGCGAACAAGCGAAUAUCUGCAAAUUCCCUGACGGCACCGAAUGGCAAAGGCAUUCUGGCGUAGCAAUUACCAGCAGGGCGAGGGAGUCAAGUAGCAAUAUCUGGACCCGUUAUCCAGUUCGGUUAUCCCGACUGGAAUGCUUUGUGUCGCCGGCAAUCUGCAUUUCUACCUGUUCGAAUGAAAGUCUAUGAAAUACGCGGCAUGAUUUCAAAUGAAAUCGACUCUUUGUCCCCUGGCCGGAAAUUUCCAAUUCAAUAACGCGCCGGAGGACGAGGGAGGUGUAGUUGCAGAAACGAUUGAUUGACUGAUACGAACUGGAAAGCCGCCUUGCAGAAGAUGGAAAAGUUUUUCUCUAGUUCCUCUGUCAUCGUGUCGAGAAGGCGUUAAUUUUAAUUCAUUCUAAUCCUCGACCUGACCGCCCCUGUAGAUUCACAAGUAUGUACGCCAAUUGCACUUUAGCUUAUAGAAACUUCCUUCGACUCGAACAGGAACCCAUGAAUGACGAAUGCCAAGUGGUUGCUCGGUAACCCUUUGCAAUGCAUUAGAAUCCAGCAGCUAUCAAGGGAGAGAGGCUGAAGAAGACGACAUUAGCAUCCUGGCUAAGGACACCCCAGCUUCGCUCUCGCGUCUUAGAUCGAAACAGCCCCAUGUUUUCGUCGGCCCGGUAUUCAUGAACAGGGUUCCGACGUGGGGCGUUCGAUUUCCUUUUCCUUCAUGAAUUUACAAUCGACCAGAGGAAUCGCGAAUACGAAAGCUUACGCGUGCCAUUCUCCAAGAAACAACAGCUUUGAUAAUACAAGUCCUCGAUGACCUUGAAAAAAAUAUCCAAAGCUUAUUGUUCUCUAACAAUAGUAUACCAAAAUCACGAGAAAACCAGUGGAUCCUAUAAUCGUAUCAAACAAACUGCAACAAAUCCGUCGUGCCAGUCUAAUAAGGGCGCGAGUUGCGGUAGGGAAACGAGAGAAAUAAAGAGAAGAUGGACCGGCGUUCGAGGGUGAAGGGAAGAUACGGAUCACCGCCAGCCGAUUGGUCGACAUCUCGGCCUGAAUAGAUUCUCGUUUUUUCAAUUCUCGAUGAAAGAAUUCUAACGGAUACGAAGCUGGCGAACGGAUGCGGAGGAUCGCGUGGAAACGAUGAGGUUUUAGCGUUGCCGUCUGUUUGGCUACGGUUCUUUGCCCGCAUCAGUUAUUCGCAUUGGUGUUAUUCGAAUGUCUCAACUGUAGAAUACUUGGCCAUUUCAAUAUCAGGACUCUUUCGACUACCAACAUCGAUUCAUUGCGAUAGGCAACAGUGUCGGCAGAGUGGGUCUCGAAUGUCACACACGGUGUACGGUUUCUCACAAUUGGAAUCGACUCGUAUCGAGUGGACCGAUCAGAUUAUUCCAACACCUGCAUUUACCCACCUACGCCAACUUGCAGACUCUUCUUUCAAGGUGGAAUCGAUUAGCGACGGAGGUGCGUUCGAAUCGCUUCGAAUCCCAUUAGAAGUUUGGACUUGUUCGUCUCCUUGUUUUUAUGGUAGAUCGUGAAAACGUCAGAGUCUGAGGAUCUCGAACAUGGUUCCUGGAUGUUGAAACGUUUAACGGGCGAAUCACUUUCUGUGGACGUUGAAAGGAACGACGAAAAAUAACGCGUAAGUACUUGACAUUUCAAGAGCCCGAGAAAUUCCAGUGUCCAAAGACUUCUCACAAUUUUUACUUCCUCAGCUUCGUUAUUGACCACGACGAGUUGAUAGAUUUAACCGAUUCUCGAAGCGAUCGAAACCUUGGCACAAUCAUCGACUCCAAGUAAUCGUCCUGCGGUCCACGCAGAAUCAUCUCAAAGAAAAAUCAUCGUAUGAUUCUCUUUGCCCUGUGUUCUCCAUUAACUUGUCCAUCGUCCAAGACGAUCUUCUCUCAAACACCGAAAUGAAGAAACAGUUCAUCCGGCUUUCCAGCGUCUGCGUUUCGCGUCGUCACCAGGGAAAGACAGUACUCUUCUAGAUUAGCACGUGACCCGUGUUCCUCCAACGACCAGUUUCGAGGUAAGAACCUCGCAUCGUUCAUGAAAUUGGACUAUGGGACACGUGACUCUGUCUAAGGGCUGUCUUCCACGGGGUACCAGGCAGCUGGACCUGCGACGGAGGGGUUAGCCCCCGCCGCGGAGGGCAUGUACUACCAAGCCCGACCUUGGAACGGCAGGUACGCGCCGCAUUGCGGUUGCUGUUGCUGCUGCAUGCUCUGUUGAGCUCCCGUCCUCGAGUACGAGCAAUGCUGAAGACUUUGACUGGACGUCAUCACGUGGCUGACACCGACCACCGAGUGAUGAGAAACGGAGGAGGCGGCGUGGUGGGAACCGUGAGGACUCGACGCCGCUGUCAUGUGAGGGGCUGGACUCGCCAAGGCCGCGCUUGGUCCACCGCGACUACCCUCGUUUCCGCCACCGCCGCCGCUUCCGCACGGUUUGCCGUCCUUCACCAACACCGGUACGGCCACCCGUCGUGGCGAACUGGCGCUCUGCAACAAAAGAUAUCAUCGUUUUGAUUAAGAAUUUAUGUUCCAUCGUUAUUCGAGAAAGCUUAAACCUCGGAUUCCUGUUCUGACCUCAUCUCUAAAGUAAAAAAUACACGGCUUAGAAUACCUGAUCCCAGUAUGUAAAUCCAAGUACAUACGUCCCGAGCUGCGUACGACGAACCGACGAAGGAGACGUGGGACGUAGCUGGGGGGUUCAACUGCGGAAGGCUUCUGUGUUCCGAGCAAACACCGUGGGCUUGGUAGGCACAGGAAUAAACAGUACCGGCUACCGUGGACCAGGUUCCGGUAUGUGUCGGUCGCGUCAACAUCGAGGAGUUGCUGCCGUACCACGGAUCCCUUCAACCGCGUGUCUCUUUCUAUCGGGGGAUUCGGUACGCCGAGGCAGGACCCCACGGCAUGCCAAACAGAAGCCGAGGCAAGCUGGCCGAGUACCUGCCGGGACGACCACUCAGCUGUAUCAACAUUCGGAAGGGAUGAAGAACGAAGAGACGGCAAUCAAAGAAUUACCUGAGCUGAGAUUCGGUUUUUAAAAAGGGCUCCCUUUAAAGGAAACGAAACAUUGAUCUUCGGGCUCUUAUUAAAAAUCAUCCAGCUUUUGAAAAACUAUUAAAAAGUUAAGAACAAAAACGAUUACAUUUUGGAAGACAAUGAAUGAACACGGUAGAAAAAGUGGAAACAUUGUCUCGUUUAUACGGAAGAUCAGUAUUCUUUGUCGCAAGAUCUAUCUACAGGACAAAUCCUAUUGUGUACGAAACGCUAACAAUGCUUGCAACAACUACCACUACCGAUACUCUCUGUUACCUACUUCGCGUCGUAGCGUGCACGCGAACCCGGCCACGCAAUUACACGUAUCACCGCACAGAUCGAGAUAAUGGAACGAAAAUCCUGCACUGAGAAUAGGGAGGAACGGUAAACAAGCCACGGAAUUGAAAUCGAGACCAUGGCAAUAGAGGUACGAGUAAAAGAAAAAGAGAAGGGAGAGAUAGAGAGAGAGAGAGAUGAAUGGGAUGCCGUGUCUACGAGGGCCACGAAAAACUAACGAGUAAAUUAUGGGGCGGCUGUUCGUCCUGGCGUGGACGAAUCGAGGGGAGUAGAUCGUUUACAGAUCGGGACACUGGAUAACUUUCAGCACCAUUAAUGUUCUAUGGGUGUUUACGAGCCACCGCUUGGCGGCUACAAUGCCGGCCUCUAUUCGAAGACAACAUCGAUCAUUGUUACAUCUUUCAAAGAUCGAUACAUUUUAAACUAAAGCGCCUACGUAAUGACACUGAUUAAUCAACCGUGACAAGUGGGUGUCAUUCAAAUAUAUAGCAAGCGAAAACAGCAGAAACGAGAAUGACUUGGAUCCUCGUCACCCGUGAAAGUGGCUUUGCGCGAAAAUCGCGCGGCCCGUGUGCUAGUUUUCAUCGAGAUUCGAUGAAACGUUGAAGUCAGCGGUGGCUGAAAAAUACGCUAUGAAAAUCCGCUUAUGUCGAAACGGUAUUCCCCGUCGAGUAUCUAUCAUCCUGGAAUUUGCACCGUGGACUAUAGAUGGUUGACCAGCAAUCAGAAGCCUAAUACACUAGAAGAAAGCUUCAAGGUUGAACACGAGGAGAUUAGAAGGUCUGAAUAGAGGAAGGAAACAGCGGAUCGAACGUUUUAAAAGAAGAGUACAAAAGGGCAAAUUAGAGGGAUGUGUGAAAGGUUUUCUCCAUCAGAGGAAUAUUUAGCAUUGACUGUUGUAACAAAUUAAGAGAAAAUGAAUUAAAGGAGAUUCUAAGUUAAUACAUUGAAUAUCAUGGAGUGGGUUGAUGCGUAGGGCUGAGAGACCUUAUCUAAAAGCCACGAAGAGGUACUAGACGAGGGAAGUACUCUUUUGCCGCUCCCGUUCGUUAAUUCCUUUUCUACCGAUAAUCCACUCAUCGAAGCCAGCGAAGUUUCGGGUGUGCGGCCAUUUCAAGAGGUCUACAAACAGGCUACUUGCUUCCACGUCUCCUUGCUUUCUUCUUUUCAACAAACCAAGCAUAUAUACGAUAUACUCAAAUAAUUUCCAACAGUACUCGAUACGCAAGAUUUCUAAAUGAAAAGAAGGAUCAGAGAAAAUUUCCAACACAGGAGUAGACGUCCAAGCAAUCCUGUGUGGGCGUCGCUUUCAUCCGUGAAAGUUGCUUGCUCUCCUCGUCGGAAAUCGGCGUUCGCCUCGAAUUUCUUUCUCCGGUCCGCGAGUACACACCAGUUAUAUCCCUAUCUCGUUCAACUUUCUCUGUUUACCCACCGCAUCGUUGCGGGAACGACGGACAAACGGACUGACGGGCCCGUUCCCUUGAAAUAACAAUUCUUUCCGACGGUUCUUUCACCGUAGCCGGUUUCAGACUUUGGCCUAGCUACACGAUUCGAGUAUCGUACGAUUCAUUUUGCUCCUCCAAAUAUUCUUUGCGGACUUUCGAAGAAUUUUGCGAAAUUCAUUAUCGGGAUUAUGUUUUGCCAAUUCGAUUUCGCACUCCAUUAUGCUAAUUUGAUUACAAAAUAGAUAAAAUUCAGGUCAGUCUUGAAGAAAUAAAUCGCAAUGUUUAUAGAACAUCAUUUUUAUUGAACUUCAAGCUUUAAUUUGAAGAUACCAUAAGUGCUAUUUUACCAAACUUUUAUGUCAUCUUUUUGUUACGCAAUUAAUUCUAACUAUGGAA